rnacentral:rRNA from 1 species
GUGCCUAAUACAUGCAAGUCGAGCGGACAGAAGGGAGCUUGCUCCCGGAUGUUAGCGGCGGACGGGUGAGUAACACGUGGGUAACCUGCCUGUAAGACUGGGAUAACUCCGGGAAACCCGGAGCUAAUACCGGAUAGUUCCUUGAACCGCAUGGUUCAAGGAUGAAAGACGGUUUCGGCUGUCACUUACAGAUGGACCCGCGGCGCAUUAGCUAGUUGGUGGGGUAAUGGCUCACCAAGGCGACGAUGCGUAGCCGACCUGAGAGGGUGAUCGGCCACACUGGGACUGAGACACGGCCCAGACUCCUACGGGAGGCAGCAGUAGGGAAUCUUCCGCAAUGGACGAAAGUCUGACGGAGCAACGCCGCGUGAGUGAUGAAGGUUUUCGGAUCGUAAAGCUCUGUUGUUAGGGAAGAACAAGUGCGAGAGUAACUGCUCGCACCUUGACGGUACCUAACCAGAAAGCCACGGCUAACUACGUGCCAGCAGCCGCGGUAAUACGUAGGUGGCAAGCGUUGUCCGGAAUUAUUGGGCGUAAAGGGCUCGCAGGCGGUUUCUUAAGUCUGAUGUGAAAGCCCCCGGCUCAACCGGGGAGGGUCAUUGGAAACUGGGAAACUUGAGUGCAGAAGAGGAGAGUGGAAUUCCACGUGUAGCGGUGAAAUGCGUAGAGAUGUGGAGGAACACCAGUGGCGAAGGCGACUCUCUGGUCUGUAACUGACGCUGAGGAGCGAAAGCGUGGGGAGCGAACAGGAUUAGAUACCCUGGUAGUCCACGCCGUAAACGAUGAGUGCUAAGUGUUAGGGGGUUUCCGCCCCUUAGUGCUGCAGCUAAC